rfam:Gossypium hirsutum cultivar TM-1 chromosome 11, whole genome shotgun sequence
AAUAGGAGAAUGAAAAAUCAAUUUUUUCCUCUUAAUUUUCGGUUUUUUUCCCUGAAAAAAAUUCAAUCCAACUAAAAGUACUAAAAAUCAGGAGGAAAAAAUUGAUUUGCCAUUCUCCUAUU